rnacentral:rRNA from 1 species
UACAGAGACUGCAAGCGUUAUUCGGAUUCACUGGGCGUAAAGGGUGCGCAGGCGGUUGGGUGUGUCAGAUGUGAAAUCCCGAGGCUUAACCUCGGAACUGCGUCUGAAACUACUCGACUAGAGUACUGGAGAGGGUAACGGAAUUCACGGUGUAGCAGUGAAAUGCGUAGAUAUCGUGAGGAACACCAGAGGCGAAGGCGGUUACCUGGACAGUUACUGACGCUGAUGUGCGAAAGCGUGGGGAGCAAACAGG